rnacentral:rRNA from 1 species
AGCAUAUCAAUAAGCGGAGGAAAAGAAACCAACAGGGAUUGCCUCAGUAACGGCGAGUGAAGCGGCAAUAGCUCAAAUUUGAAAUCUGGCGUCUUCGGCGUCCGAGUUGUAAUUUGUAGAGGAUGCUAUUGAGUUGUCACCGGUCUAAGUUCCUUGGAACAGGACGUCACAGAGGGUGAGAAUCCCGUAUGUGACCGGCCAGACGCUCUCUGUAUAGCUCCUUCGACGAGUCGGGUUGUUUGGGAAUGCAGCCCUAAAUGGGAGGUAAAUUUCUUCUAAAGCUAAAUACCGGCCAGAGACCGAUAGCGCACAAGUAGAGUGAUCGAAAGAUGAAAAGCACUUUGGAAAGAGAGUUAAAAAGCACGUGAAAUUGUUGAAAGGGAAGCGCUUGCAAUCAGUCUCGACGGCGGCUGUUCGGCCUCUCUUCUGAGUGGUUUAUUCAGUCGCCGCCGGGCCAGCAUCAGUUCUGGCGGUCGGAUAAAGGCAUAGGGAAUGUAGCUCCUCUCGGGGAGUGUUAUAGCCCUGUGUGCAAUACGGCCUGCCGGGACUGAGGUCCGCGCUUCGGCUAGGAUGCUGGCGAAAUGGUUGUAAGCGGCCCGUCUUGAAACACGGACCAAGGAGUCUAACAUCUAUGCGAGUGUUUGGGUGUCAAACCCGUACGCGUAAUGAAAGUGAACGGAGGUGGGAACCGCAAGGUGCACCAUCGACCGAUCCUGAUGUCUUCGGAUGGAUUUGAGUAAGAGCAUAGCUGUUGGGACCCGAAAGAUGGUGAACUAUGCCUGAAUAGGGUGAAGCCAGAGGAAACUCUGGUGGAGGCUCGCAGCGGUUCUGACGUGCAAAUCGAUCGUCAAAUUUGGGUAUAGGGGCGAAAGACUAAUCGAACCAUCUAGUAGCUGGUUCCUGCGA